rnacentral:lncRNA from 1 species
UGCCAACUUAAGUAGUGGAGUGCUAGGGAGGAAUAAGCUAAUAAGCAUCAGAGAACUGGUGAUGGAGCUUAUUGUGGGAAGGAGGCAGAGAGAGUUCAGGACUGCGGAACUGCCCGAUGGUACUAAAGCACUCAUCUUUCUUUGGAUGGUAGGUUACGUGAUAUGUGCCUAAUAAUUGUGCAGUAUUCCAAAUACAUUAUAUGUGCUUUCUCUGUAUGUGCAUUAUGUCUCAUGCUUUAAAAAUACAGAGAAGGAGCAGGGAUUUGACCCAACGGUUAAGAUGCCUGCAUCCCACAUCAGAGUGCUUGGGUUCAAUUCCCAGCUCUGGCUCCUGCCUUUAGCUUCCUACCACUGCAAACCCUGGGAGGCAAUGGUGAUGGCUCAAGUAAUUGAGUUCCUGCCAGUCCCAACCAGACAUCUGCAGCAGCCAGGGAAAAAUAUCUGGGGUGCGGAUGGGGCAGUGGGGCGGGCAGGCAGGCACACACUCACAGCCUUUUGGAGAGAAGGCUAGAUUAUCUUACAGAGAAGAUGGUUUUGGAAAGAUUAGGCUAUUGUACACAGAACCAUUACACAGCCAGUGUGGCGAGACUGGUGUUAGAGCCCUGCCAGCUGGCUUUCAGAGCCCUUGCUCUUAACCUAGACUGAGUCCCCUAACUCAAGCUGAAAAUGUCACCAGCAAACGUUAAAGGAGAUUCUCUGCCUAACACUGGUUUGAUAAAAGUUUUAUUGGUCUUCAUUCUAGCCAGUUGACUUUAUGCUCCACAGGACUGGGGAAACUUUUUUAAUUUUUUUUUUUUUUUUUGCCAAGGGCCAUAUGGAUAUUUGUGAGAUCAUUCAUGGGCCACACAAAAUUAUCACAUUAAAAAUUAUCUUGCUAUAGAUUUAUUGACUUUUGAGUCCCACCUGCAGUUGUCUUGGCAGGGAUGGAACAAAUGAUUUCGCAGGCUUCGUACAGCCCAUGGGCCAGACAUUCUCCACUCCUGCCUGGAACACAAGAUGAACUGACGGCUCAGAACCCUACAGAUCCCAGGACUAGGUCACUGUAUAACACACAGGAUUCAGUCACAGUAAACAAUGACCCCAACAACCGUCCCCAGUCGGGAAAUGGGGCCAGACUGCCUUGAGAAGGGCUGCCUAAGCAGGUGCAAAAUCCACAGGGCACUGGAGUGGGCUCUGAAUGGUCCUCUCGUUUGCCCUUCACUGUCCCAUCUCUUUCAGUUUACUAAACCUCUGUCCAACUCCCUCACCUGUCCAAUGACAGGUCUUACCAGACCCCAGCCUCUGCCUUAGGGUCCUGGGCUCCCAUGGCCAUGUCUUCAACCUGGCCAGCGACCACCUACACAGGGGAAAUCUAACAAUCACAGCAGCCACACACCUCCCCUGCGGACAGCACUCACCGGGAGCUUACCUUUUAAUUCCAUUUUGCUGCAAGCUUUCUGAAGAGUCCUUGCAUGGGACAUCGUUUUUCAUGAGGUGCAUAUCCCACUUAGAAGCUGCAUUUUAAAAUGAAGCCGUUGAAAUUCUCUUCAUUGCUCAUCCUAAUUCUGGAUUCUGCUUUUAAAGAUACAGUUCUGAAGACUGAUUCAUGAGAGCUGAAAUCAUGAAAUGACAGCUUCUUGUCUACAACUGACUGACCUUUGCCCAGAAAAACAAAUGUACUCCAAUAACCUCUUAGACCAGAGGUCUAUGAACCAUAGCUCACGGGCCCAAAUCUAGCCCACUGCCUGCCUUUUUUAUUUUUUUUUUCCCAGAGAAACCUUUUAUUUAAUGAGUAUAAAUUUCAUAACUACAACUUUAGGAGUUUAGUGAUUCUUCCAGCCCUCCCACCCCCACUCCCACCCCACCACCUCCUCCCUCUCCCAUCCCAGUCUCAUUCUCCAUUAAGAUUCAUUUUCAAUGAACUUUAUAAACAGAACCAAACUCUAUACUAAGUAAAGAUUUCAACAAUUUGCACACACACAAACACAUAAAAAAUAAAAAAAAAAUGUUUGAGAACA